rnacentral:rRNA from 1 species
CCUUGAGGCGUGGCUUCCGGAGCUAACGCGUUAAGUCGACCGCCUGGGGAGUACGGCCGCAAGGUUAAAACUCAAAUGAAUUGACGGGGGCCCGCACAAGCGGUGGAGCAUGUGGUUUAAUUCGAUGCAACGCGAAGAACCUUACCUGGUCUUGACAUCCACGGAAGUUUUCAGAGAUGAGAAUGUGCCUUCGGGAACCGUGAGACAGGUGCUGCAUGGCUGUCGUCAGCUCGUGUUGUGAAAUGUUGGGUUAAGUCCCGCAACGAGCGCAACCCUUAUCCUUUGUUGCCAGCGGUCCGGCCGGGAACUCAAAGGAGACUGCCAGUGAUAAACUGGAGGAAGGUGGGGAUGACGUCAAGUCAUCAUGGCCCUUACGACCAGGGCUACACACGUGCUACAAUGGCGCAUACAAAGAGAAGCGACCUCGCGAGAGCAAGCGGACCUCAUAAAGUGCGUCGUAGUCCGGAUUGGAGUCUGCAACUCGACUCCAUGAAGUCGGAAUCGCUAGUAAUCGUGGAUCAGAAUGCCACGGUGAAUACGUUCCCGGGCCUUGUACACACCGCCCGUCACACCAUGGGAGUGGGUUGCAAAAGAAGUAGGUAGCUUAACCUUCGGGAGGGCGCUUACCACUUUGUGAUUCAUGACUGGGGUGAAGUCGUAACAAGGUAACCGUAGGGGAACCUGCGGUUGGAUCAC